rnacentral:tRNA from 1 species
GCGGAUGUGGCGAAAUUGGCAUACGCGCCAGACUUAGGAUCUGGUGGGGCAACCCGUGGGAGUUCGACCCUCCCCAUCCGCAC